rnacentral:lncRNA from 1 species
AAAAAACGUGCGCUCGUGAUCUCCACCCCGUGAGCAGUGAGCAAGGGAGUUUAGCAUGAUUCUUCAAUAAUUAGAGGGAAAAAAUCCCACCUUUUGCCGAGGCAUGGCACCCCAUGUAUAAAAGGAUGCAAUUUUUCUCACAAGAAAACUCCCUUUCAUUGUCAGUGACUCAGUCGCCCUAGACAAUUUCGCACUUUAACGGACAGAAAGACUAUUUUUUCCGAGAAAAUUUGUUUCAUUUUCUUGGCUUCUGUUUUUCCCUGUGGAAAGUGAGGUAGGAAAGGGCAAAGAUGUGGGGAUUCGGGGAAGAAAUUAUUGGGGAAGAAAGGAGAGAGGGAAAGUGGAAGGAAUGGUGGUGGUGCUUGCAUGGAUGUCCAGUCAGGACAGGCACUUGAAGAAAUAUGUUGAUCUUUAUUCCUCCCUUGGCUGGAAUUCCCUAGUUUGCCACUCCCAAUUCCUCAAUUUGUAAGCUCAAUUUCAUAUUUUCCCAUCAAUUUCACACUUGGGAUUCUGGUUCUGGUUCUGAUUUAUUAUUAUUAUUAUUAUUUAUUAUUUAUUUUUAACUUUGGUAUGUUUUCUGUUAUCUGAGUUGUCCCACAUGGGUGGGGAGCCUUGUGGAUGUCCUCCUACUUCAAUUCUAAAUUCUGGGUUUGUCGCUGAGCAAUGGAUAAGGUAGUUGGGGUUGAUAAGGUUCAUGAAUUUGAAUGUUUUGUUAAGUAUGCAUAGAAAGGAAAAUGAAUUUGAUGGAGCAUUAUAAUCAAUUUGUUGAAUAUUCUUGCCCCUUAAUGUAAUUUUGGUUGGUAGUGACACGCUGUAUAUUAAAUGUGCAGAAUAUCAUUUUGUAUUUCUGGUGGAAUUACUGUUCUACAUUAUGUUUCAUUCUAAGAUUGCAUUUAUUGUGACUUAGGAGAAACGAAAUGAAUGCUUAAACUAUUGGAUCUAUGAAUCUACAUGGAUGCUUGUUAUGAAUAAAUUUUGAUCUCAUUUUAAUGAAAAAUUAUCCUUGUAGUAUGAUUGUUCUUCAGCGAAUUUCGUAAGUUUGAAUGAUGAAUGCUGGUUUUUUGACAUCUCCAUGUCGCUUUUCAUGAUUUAUGCUAUGAAAAAUAAAUUCCCCUACCUUGCUAUAGGAAUGGACUAACAUUGUCUAUUUCUUAGAGGAAUUGGUAAACAUUUACAUCUGAUUCUAGGUCUGGUUUGCGUGUUUUAAGUAGAUGAAGAAAGUAAACUGGAUUGGCUAAAAUGCUGCUCCGUAUUAUCUUUCAGUCUAGGAUGAUGAAAUUUGAAAAAAGGUCUCAGCGUAUCUGUUACCUGGACACUGGGGAGAAAAGAAAACUAGUACUUUGCAGAACAUAUUGUCAAGGGAGCCCCUUUUCCAUAUGGAAAUUCAAACUUAUACUUUCACGAUCUCCAAUGGAUUAAUAAUGAACUUGCUUCAUAAAGAAUGUGGUAACAAGACACGGUCUUCUUGUUAUUGGACUCAAAUUCUUCUUAUGUUGAUCCACAUAUUCUCUAUUUGGAUACCUAUGUUGAUAUCUCAAGUAUGGACAGCAUACUAUCCUGAGAAAAUUAAAAGCAAAUUUUGACAUUAGAUUGGAAGGGAAAUUUGAUCAAUUUAAGUGCCACAUAGGAGACAAACUGUUACAAUUGCUUUUAAACUCAAGAUGAAUACUUGGGACGGACAUACAAUUUACCCAAAGCAUAUUCUAGUGUGUAAGUUUUAGUAACAUAUAAUUUAAUUCUCAAUUUUGUGGGGGUUAUGCUUACAGAUUCUUUCCUGAUAAAGCUGCAUCAUUGGCACUAGAAAUUGUCAGUGAUCUUGUUCAGGUUAGUCAUGAAUCGAAUCUACCUUAUCUAGCUCUUCUACACAGUGUCACAUCUAUGUUCACUCUCUCUAUUUAAAAAUCUCUUUGAAAAAUCAACUCAUGUUGUAUCUGCUACACAUCUUUUAGGCUAUAGUGCUCCUAAGAUUGAAAUUUUAGACCUGUUUAAAAGAUAAGAGCUUUUCUAAGAAACAAUGAGAAUCUGAUAUUUAUAAAUUGGUUCAAAUUUUCUGUUUUAUCUUAUGUGGAUUGACUUAAUCUUGGAGCAGCUUCUUUAACAUUAGUAAGAUAAAAUUGUUUAGAGACUGUGAUUGUCUUCAUUUUUCUGUCUCUUCUCCCAAAAGAAAAGGAAGUGAAAGGCUUGUUGGUUUAACGAGAUUAAAAUUUGUUGGGUUAGCGAUUAUUUUGAGUUAUUCUCACACUUAUGUUGAUUUUAUUUUCUUAUGAAGGAGCUAAAAAUCAGACCAUGGCCCGUUGUUUUUGCAUCUUUUUUCUGG